rnacentral:rRNA from 1 species
CCUACGGGAGGCAGCAGUGGGGAAUAUUGGACAAUGGGGGAAACCCUGAUCCAGCCAUGCCGCGUGUGUGAAGAAGGUCUUCGGAUUGUAAAGCACUUUAAGUUGGGAGGAAGGGCAGUAAGCUAAUACCUUGCUGUUUGACGUACCGACAGA